AUUGAACGCUGGCGGCAUGCUUUACACAUGCAAGUCGAACGGUAACAGGCCUUCGGGUGCUGACGAGUGGCGAACGGGUGAGUAAUGCAUCGGAACGUACCCAGAGGUGGGGGAUAACGCAGCGAAAGCUGUGCUAAUACCGCAUGUGAUCUGAGGAUGAAAGCGGGGGACCGAGCAGCAAUGUUUGGCCUCGCGCCUUUGGAGCGGCCGAUGUCGGAUUAGCUAGUUGGUGGGGUAAAGGCCUACCAAGGCGACGAUCCGUAGCUGGUCUGAGAGGACGACCAGCCACACGGGGACUGAGAAACGGCCCAGACUCCUAGGGGAGGCAGGAGGGGGGAAUUUUGGACAAUGGGCGGAAGCCUGAACCAGCAACGCCGCGUGGGGGAAGAAGGCCUUCGGGUUGUAAACCGCUUUUGGCAGGAAAGAAACGGUGUCCGCUAAACCCGGGCGCUAAUGGCGGUACCUGAAAAAUAAGCACCGGCUAACUACGU
rnacentral:rRNA from 1 species